GACGAACGCUGGCGGCGUGCCUAACACAUGCAAGUCGAACGGGACUUAGUGGAAAGCGGCUUCGGCCAAUGGAAGCUAAGUUUAGUGGCGAACGGGUGAGUAACGCGUGAAGAACCUGCCUUUCAGUGGGGGACAACAGUUGGAAACGACUGCUAAUACCGCAUAAUGUCAUUUGGGGGCAUCCCCGAAUGACCAAAGAUUUAUUGCUGAAAGAUGGCUUCGCGUCUGAUUAGCUAGUUGGUGAGGUAACGGCUCACCAAGGCGACGAUCAGUAGCCGGCUUGAGAGAGUGAACGGCCACAUUGGGACUGAGACACGGCCCAAACUCCUACGGGAGGCAGCAGUGGGGGAUAUUGGACAAUGGGGGAAACCCUGAUCCAGCGACGCCGCGUGAGUGAAGAAGUAUUUCGGUAUGUAAAGCUCUAUCAGCAGGGAAGAAAAUACCAAAUUGACUGUACCUGACUAAGAAGCCCCGGCUAACUACGUG
rnacentral:rRNA from 1 species